GCACCCACGGACGAAAUGAACGCGGAGCACGGACAGAAGGCUCCGUCCGUAUGCGGAUCCGUAUUUAACGUUGAGCAUACAUGGGCCUUCAAGUUCGCUCCUGUUCCAAAAGCAGAAAUGAGUGUACUCCCGUCCGAACUUGCCACGUCCACAAGUCCAAACUGCUGAACUUGUGUAUUGCGAAACGGCUUCUGUGUCUUGGGACCGUUUGGAACCCACUUUGAUUUUAGCGGAACGGAAGCCACAUUUUUUACUUUUGCAGUCCGGACGAUUUACGAGGGUGCACAAAUGACUAAUGGGGACGAGCGUAAAGUGGUUCCUCCUGCAGCUGCUACGGGAGAGUCUCCCCAGGUGUUGGGAAGCAGAUUACUGCCCUGCUGUUCUAUACCAUGAAUGAUGAGCCAUGGACCAGAUCACUUUCCAGCAUGAUACUGUGCUGUCUGAUAUUCACAUGCUUCUGCCCAACGAACACCACCUUAUGACACGCCUCAAUGGUGUUGGACAGCCCGUCUUCAUCUCUAAAUUCAAGAUCAUGUCAGAUGGUGAAAGGCAUGACAGAAAUGAUCCAGGGAAAGGUUUGAAGGAGGUGGAGGAAUACGAUAAAAAAAAGGAAGAUGGGGGAAAAGAUACAAAAGUCGCACAAGGAAAAGAUGGAGAGGAAUGCGGGAAAGGAAAUGUGGAACCAUUUUUGGAUGAGGACGGAGACCUUGACAUCAUGCAUCGCCCGAGGACAAACCCUAAGGAGGACAGUGGCCGAGAUGUGGUCUGUCCUGUCAUUCUCCAACAGUCCAACCCUGUCCUGGAACAAGAAGAGGGGGAUACGGAUGAUGAAGAUGAUAAGCCUUUAAACAACAUUAUAAAGAUUGAGCACACUAUGGCCACACCCCUGGAGGAUGUUGGCAAACAGGUGUGGCGAGGGGCAUUCUUCUUGGCUGACUUUAUCGUCUCUAAACCACACAUAUUCAGAGGAGCCACAGUCCUGGAGCUGGGAGCGGGAACCGGCUUAACCAGCAUCAUUAUGGCAACCAUAGCCAAAACAGUGUACUGCACAGAUGUGGGAGAAGACCUUUUAAGCAUGUGCAAGAAAAAUGUGACAUUAAAUAGACACAUGAUGGAGCCUGCAGGUGGUAAUGUGAGAGUGAAACAGUUGGAUUGGCUCCAGUGUGACCUCUGUACAGUUUGCUAUGAUGAUGAUCUGACAGAUGGCCUUUUCCGAACACUGUACCGACUCUGCUGUAGCUUUUCUCACACCUGCACGAUCUUCAUCUCCAUAGAGAAAAGGAUGAACUUCACCCUGCGACACAUGGAUGUUUCCUGUGAUGCCUACAACCAUUUCCGCCACUGUCUGUUCCAACUCCAGGACCAGGUGGAUGGACGAUGCAGCUUUCGAGUGGAACAGCUCCCUUCUAACUUCGCUCAGUUUCUUCUGUAUGAACGCAUAGAGCAACUGUUUUCAACUUUAGACGCUUGCUGUAGCGCCACCAUCAGGACUAUUGGCUUGAGUUUACAGCUGAGGAUAUCUGGCAUGAGACUGGACCUUUGUGCCAAGUUUGGUGAGUUUUCACCCAUGGGAAGUAUGAUUUCCUCUGAAGAAGAAAGAAGAAAGAAGAAGAAGAAUACCUAGGAUUACAAUAGUGUCCUGGCAGCUUAGCUGCCCGGACCCUAACAAGAAGCUGCUGCAACCAUCCUGAGCUGUGGAAGGUGACCGCCACUCCACUUCCAGUGUGAUUCUGUCCUGUUCUCAUCUCAACAUGGACUCAUAGCCCAGCAGUGUGAACACGGCAUUCUCCCCACGAGUUACUCUACAAAACUCCGGUUAACUGUUGAAGGUUUGAAAAGUGAAAGAUAAAAACUCAAGGCAACAUCAUGUGUUCCUGUGUCAGUAUAAUAAUAUCAUUUGGUAAAUUAAAGAUAGAAACAGGCAAUUUAACAUGUAGAAUUCAUCAAGAUGAUUUAAAAAUGGGUCACUGAUUCACCGCAUGAAUGUAGCAUAAUUUAUUUUUUAAUCUCAUUCAUGCAUUCUUACAGAUGGUUAUCUGUUAUCUGUUGAAGCUAUUUAGAGGAAAUUAAAGUUCUUUAACUUUGUUAAUGGAAAGUCAGCCAGAGCUGCAUGUCUUCGUGUUUGGACACUAUGUUUGAUUAAAAACAAGGUUUAAAUAAAGUUUUGCAGUACAACCAUGUGCUCAGAAUUUGUAUUUUGGCUGCAUGCUGUUUAAAGCAUUUAAAUGUAUUGAUUUAUUUUCGUGGCAACACAGAACGCUGCAUAAAUAGGACGAGUUGCUAUUUUAACAUACAUUUGACCACAGAUUCAGAUCAAGAAGUUGCCAAAACCUGCAGUUCCUUUAAUGACCAUUUGAGGCUGGCUCCAGAAGCCAUCAAUCCCCACAGACCCCUGUGUUAAAAUGCCCAGCUUUACAGCAGAAAUAAAUAUGUUUACAGCCUUGUACAAAAAACACUUUUGGUCUCUAUAAUUUCCCCGUUCAUGACAACUGUACAGGGGUGAAUUUUUAUGUAACUCACCUGUUUAUCUUUUAUAAAGCCUAAAUUUACUUAUAUUAAGGGGAAGGCUGUUUGAGUGACAGGCUGUGUGCAGGCGUAGCUACAGUCUACAAGUCAGAUCCACCCUCUCGUCCAAAAAUGAGACUUCUGGCCAGAGUCCUGCAUGGGUCCAGAACGCUGCAUAAAUAGGACGAGUUGCUAUUUUAACAUACAUUUGACAUGCUUGACAAAGAAACUCCAUCGCAAUAUUUAUCAAAUCAAAUUAUGUUUUGUCAGUUCUGUGAGUUGAAUGUACUGUUAGGCAAUUAGUGAUUUAAUCCAUAUCUCAAAAAUAAUGACAAAAGCCCAUGAGUACUGUGGCUUUUGAUGUCUAUUUACGUAUGUCUUUCAAUGGAAAGACAUAAAUAGACAUCAAAAGCCACAGUACUGAAACUGUCUGAGACAGAAAAAAGCCUCACAAAAAACAUUGAGGUUGUAACUAUUUUUACUUCUUAAAGGGUGAUUAAUUUCAUUUAAAUCAAUUAAAUAUUUGGACAUGAUCAGUUAUGAUCACUAAUAUGAGAACAGACUAAUUCAUGAAUGGGAAUAGACCUUUUUCACAGCUGAUAUUUUAACCUGUAAUAGGAAAGGAAAGGAGAGGUGUAUUUAGUAAUAUUAAUGAUAGGUGUAUUCAAUUUAGUGCAGGUCCUGGCAUGCUGGCACACUAGAAAAGUUAUAUGGCAGACUAAAGCCCAGUUCGGACCAAUGAUUUCUGACAAGACGUUUUAGAACGUUGCAGAGAAAAGUUGCAGUGGAACUGGCCGGUCAGAGCUCGACUCAAGCCGGCUGAUGGUGUCACCAGCAACUCAGCUGGUCAAAUAGCCGGUGAAUGGUUUUAAAACUCCUCCACAGCCAAACCCUCUUGUCCAAAAAUGAGAUUUCUGGCCAGAGUCCUACAUGGGUCCAUUUUUGAAAACUUGUAUCCACCCAUGCCCGUAAAGCUCAGUACCGUUACUUGUUGUUUUGUCUAAGUCAAAGCUGCACUUGUCCACACCUGUGAUUAAACACACACAGGCUACAGUUACUUACAUUAAGCGGGGUUCUCCGUUCUUGAAUUCCAGCGGAGGAAAAGUCUCUUUCACUGGCUGUGUGUGAUGCUGGUAUGGUGAAAACAUUCGAUCACUGCCAGGUUAGGAAACAUUUUAGCAUGCUCCUUCCAUCACCAUAAAACCUCAAAAGGAUCCUCUUGGGUGUCUUAAGCUCGAUGUAGGCUGCCACCUCAUCCUCAGGCUGCAAAGUUUCAUUGCAAGAGUCCUCCAUGUUGGUGACGAAUGUGACAACGGGGUCAAAGAUUCGAAAUGUGUCAUUGACUUUCAAAAUAAAUGAAUGAAAAUGAAACGAAUUGCAGCUUGAUAAUGAUUUACAUGAUGAUUUAGAUGUCACAAUAUUACACAUAUACUGCACAUCUUUUUCAUUUGUUUUAUUCUGAAAAACAAAAAAUGUGUGAUGUUCAUUUGUACCCAUGCCCAUAAUAAAAUAUAUAUAUGUAUGUAUAUAUACAUACAAAUAUAUACAUAUAUAUACAUAUACAUAUAUACAUAUAUAUGUAUGUAUAUAUAUAUAUAUAUGUGUGUGUAUGUAUAUAUAUAUAUAUAUAUAUAUAUAUAUAUUAUUUUUAUUUUUUUACCCAUUACACAGCUUUUUGAGGGUGAUGAGGGUGACCCGGUGUAGGACUCUGCUUCUUGAUCCAAAAAAACAAGAUGGCCAGAAUGCCAGACUUGACGCUUCAAAACAGGAGUCCCUAAACCAGUGGGUGAGGUCAUGUUGGCUGGGAUGCUGGCACUUCAUACAUAAACUGUAGGCUGUUAGGGCUGGACAAUAUGGUAAGAAAUAUUGCGAUUAUUUUUACAGAUUGGACUAUAUUGAUAUUCAUCAUAUUAUAUAAUUUGAUAAUGCUGACAGUUUGACGAGUAUCAUGAUAAUCUUAAAUCUGCCUUUAAACUGUAUAAAUUAGCUUGUCUUGUAACAUAUUAAAAUAAUGUGGUCACUGGGAUGGUACCUUUUGGGGUGAUGGAGGUCACCUAGAAUUCAUAGAAUCGAAGCUAUAUCCUUAACUAUGAUUUUGUGUGUUUUCCAUCUUGGUUUGCCUUUGGAGGUGACCAUAUUUGGAUGAGGGGGUGGAGCUGUGGAGAUGCAAAGGAUGGAUCUGACUGAGAGCCUGAGGUUAUGCCUCACAGACAUUCUGCCACUCAAAGUUGUGCAAAAGUAAGGGAAUAGGCCUUAAUAAAAUGUAAAAAGGUAAAGUAUAUAAAAUGCACCCCCUGUACAGUUGUCAUGAAUGCUGAACUUGGAAAUUAGCUAUAGAGAGCAGGUCAUUUGUGAGUGAUUUGAGGUUUGUAUGAUUUCAUGUGACAAAUAAAUUGACUGGAAUAUUUUACUUCCUGUGCCCUCAGUUUGGAUUGGAAUGGGUAUAUUUGCCCAUCAGAUGCUCCGUGGUUUGUGUCAUAGUGGUGCUUCUUAUUACUGCUUUAAAUUGUCACCACAUAUGAUGAGACGCACUGGUUUUGAACUGGAAAGGAAGUGAAAUGUAAGAGUCCAUUCAUUCCUGGUUAAAAGCUGUGUUUAUACUGUCAAACAUUACUUUUGUGUCUUUGGAAAAGCAAUGUGAAAUUACUUUUCUCUGAUUCACUUAUUUCUCCAACUGUUGUCUCGACUCUGAUCUUGUCUCUCUCCUGCAUAUGUAUCUCACACACUCAAGCCGCAGUGCUUUUUGGAAUGCACAGAUUUGAUUGGUUGAGUAGCAUUAUGAGAUGAUAUAACAAAUGCAAUUGUUCUGUGAGUUUCAUGGUCCGUCAAACCAAUGCUACAGUGCUGCACCGGUUAAAAUAGAAA